AGAGUUUGAUCCUGGCUCAGGGUGAACGCUGGCGGCGUGCUUAAGACAUGCAAGUCGAACGCGGUCUUCGGACCGAGUGGCGCACGGGUGAGUAACACGUAACUGACCUACCCAGAAGUCAUGAAUAACUGGCCGAAAGGUCAGCUAAUACGUGAUGUGGUGAUUUGCCGUGGCAAAUCACUAAAGAUUUAUCGCUUCUGGAUGGGGUUGCGUUCCAUCAGCUGGUUGGUGGGGUAAAGGCCUACCAAGGCGACGACGGAUAGCCGGCCUGAGAGGGUGGCCGGCCACAGGGGCACUGAGACACGGGUCCCACUCCUACGGGAGGCAGCAGUUAGGAAUCUUCCACAAUGGGCGCAAGCCUGAUGGAGCGACGCCGCGUGAGGGAUGAAGGUUUUCGGAUCGUAAACCUCUGAAUCUGGGACGAAAGAGCCUUUAUGGCAGAUGACGGUACCAGAGUAAUAGCACCGGCUAACUCCGUGCCAGCAGCCGCGGUAAUACGGAGGGUGCAAGCGUUACCCGGAAUCACUGGGCGUAAAGGGCGUGUAGGCGGAUAUUUAAGUCUGGUUUUAAAGACUGGGGCUCAACCCCAGGAGUGGACUGGAUACUGGAUGUCUUGACCUCUGGAGAGGUAACUGGAAUUCCUGGUGUAGCGGUGGAAUGCGUAGAUACCAGGAGGAACACCAAUGGCGAAGGCAAGUUACUGGACAGAAGGUGACGCUGAGGCGCGAAAGUGUGGGGAGCAAACCGGAUUAGAUACCCGGGUAGUCCACACCCUAAACGAUGUACGUUGGCUAAGCGCAGGAUGCUGUGCUGGCGAAGCUAACGCG
rnacentral:rRNA from 1 species